GAUUGUCUCCGCAGAAAGCCAAUGUUCAUGAUCAUUAUUCUUGCGGAUGAGGAGUCUCAAGGUGACCGGUGUUUGCUGGAGAAGCUGCUGUAAUUUGCAAGACACAUUUCAGUACUCAGUACCCACAGGAAGUAUAUACAGCCCUUGUCCUACUAAAAGUUUUUCUUUACAACCGGGAAAGUGGCCUUGGUUAUCUUUCCAAGGAGAUAUUUGGUUAAAGCAUCAGCUACAGCCUGACCUCUGACGACUGCUGAGUAAGAACUUGACAGACUUCCCCCACUCCCCACCCUCAGGUGGGCAAAAUGGAUGAAAGUGGUCAAAAGCUUUGCCGAUGGUAUUCAGGAACAAGGCAUCUGUAUCUUCCUAUGGGGAAAACAAUAAGCAAAAAGCAGGCUCUUCUGGAACCACAGGCUCCUUGUGCAGCUGCUGUGUAAUCAAGAAGCUAGAGGUAGCAGGACCCGACCCUUCUGCCCAACACACCAGCCAAGAGCCUCUGGUGCACACAUCCUAGUUACCUGCUCAGAAAGGGAAACACAAUUGGUCAAUAAAUGCAAGAAAAAG